rnacentral:lncRNA from 1 species
UAUGCUAAGUUGAAAAUUCGAAAGGGCGACUUAGGCAAAAAUAAUAAUAAAAUAGUAAAAGAAAGGAAUUUGGUUGUGUACCUAUAAAAGAAUGAGGUUGCCACCAAACGAUUGAUGGAUUUUGUACUUGUCUAACCCGAUGAUGGUUUCAGCCAAGAUGGCUGGAAUUAGAUAAGCUUUAUGUUCCACUUGAUCAAUAAUGCCAGUAAGAUGUCUCCC